UACAGAGGCCUCGAGCGUUAGGCGGAAUCACUGGGCUUAAAGCGUGUGUAGGCGGACUUCUAAGUGCCUUGUGAAAUCCCACGGCUCACCCGUGGAACGGCUGGGCAUACUGGGAGUCUUGAGCCACCUAGGGGCUGCCGGAACAAAUGGUGGAGCGGUGAAAUGCGUAGAUAUCAUUUGGAACGCCAACGGAGAAAUCAGCUCGCUGGGGGUGUGCUGACGCUGAGACACGAAAGCCAGGGGAGCGAACGGG
rnacentral:rRNA from 1 species